UACGGGGGGGGCAAGCGUUGUUCGGAAUUACUGGGCGUAAAGGGCUUGUAGGUGGCCAACUAAGUCAGACGUGAAAUCCCUCGGCUUAACCGGGGAACUGCGUCUGAUACUGGAUGGCUUGAGUGUGGGAGAGGGAUGCGGAAUUCCAGGUGUAGCGGUGAAAUGCGUAGAUAUCUGGAGGAACACCGGUGGCGAAGGCGGCAUCCUGGACCGACAUUGACGCUGAGGAGCGAAAGCUAGGGGAGCAAACGGG
rnacentral:rRNA from 1 species